rnacentral:lncRNA from 1 species
AAAAUCAAUAAAAAAAGUGUGUUAAAAUGGACCAUUUAGAAUAAAUAAUUAAAAUAAAAUAUUAAUAUUAAAAAAUACGAAAAUAAAAAUUAUAUAAAAUUAAAUAAAACUUUAAGAAAAGUGAAAAAUAUUUUUGGGUAAUUUUAUGGACGAAGAAAAUAUUUUAAAUAAGAAAAAGAAAUAUGAAAACGGAAGGAUUA